rnacentral:rRNA from 1 species
UACGGGAGGCAGCAGUGGGGAAUAUUGGGCAAUGGGCGAAAGCCUGACCCAGCGACGCCGCGUGGGGGAAGAAGGCCUUCGGGUUGUAAACCCCUUUUGCAGGGGACGACACAGGACGGUACCCUGCGAAUAAGCCACGGCUAACUCUGUGCCAGCAGCCGCGGUAAGACAGAGGUGGCAAGCGUUGCUCGGAUUCACUGGGCUUAAAGGGCGCGUAGGUGGUUUUGUAAGUCUAAGGUGGAAUUCCACAGCUUAACUGUGGGACUGCCUUUGAUACUGCAAGGCUUGAGUCAGGCAGAGGAGGGCGGAAUUCCCGGUGUAGCGGUGAAAUGCGUAGAUAUCGGGAGGAAGGCCUGUGGCGAAGGCGGCCCUCUGGGCCUGCACUGACACUGAGGCGCGAAAGCGUGGGGAGCAAACAGGAUUAGAUAUCCCUGGUAGUCCACGCCCUAAACGGUGGGCACUAGGUGUGGGGUCCAUAUGGACUCUGUG